UUUACCUGCAUUAUGAGUUGGACAAAUAAAUUGUAGCUCCUCUCCGUCUUGCCAUGUUUCCUGUUUAGAACUUUCAGGCAUCCCGUGGCAUUUACAGAAGGCUCUGGGUUCACACAGGCGAAAUUCCCUCACAAUGGAUCUUUACUCUGGAAUUUUCCCGUCCCAAGGCCUGCCACUCCUGCAGCCUUAGAAGGCACUUCCUCCCUGGUCCCAUGCUCCCUGCGAAGUUCUCUACUUUCCAGGAGCGUGGCUUACAGCUUCCUCCUUUGGGCACCCAGUUCCUAAUGAAACUGAACCUUUCAGUCCUGCCUGCCUGGGCACCCUCCUCUCUUCAUCUUACUGCAGGACAAGUGUGUCCAUGAGGCCGAGUUAAUAGCGUCCAUGAAGUGAAAUGAAAUCGUUACUUCAAGCCUCAAGCCUCACCAGGGAGUUUCUUAGACUUUUCAAUCUGGCAGGUUGGCAUAACCCUGUGUAAGAGGAUUCUUCACCUAGUACAGAAUCUGCUGAUAAAGAGAACCCA
rnacentral:lncRNA from 1 species